AUGGAAUAUGAUUGAAAAUGGAAAUAAACAUGGCAAGCGAUUGUGAAUCAGAAAAUGUAUUUGUACCUAAGAGCGCAAUCCUGGAGGGAAAGUUUUUCACUGUUGUAGUACGUGGAAAAGAUGGUAAAUUGAAAGCACGGUGUGAAUUAUGCAAACCUGGGAAAGAUAUGUACUAUAGUUAGUGGGUCAUGUUCUGCUACAACAAACUUCAAAACUCAUUUGAAGAGAAUACAUCCAGAAGAGAUAAAAGCAUUCGAGACCUAUAAACUGGACGAAAAAAGAACCUGCAGCUGCAAGAAAAAGGCUACUUUCACCUUCAUCAAGUGAAGUUUGUAAUUCAACAAAAUUGAAGCAAACAUACCUUCCAUUUUUAAGAAAAAAUACUUCAAGCAAUACUAUGGCACAAAAGAAAUUUGAUGCACUGCUCACAUUUGUUGUAAAUGGGAUGAGACCUCUCUCAAUCGUGGAUGUCCAAGAUUUUGUGAAUUUAUUUGAAGGCAAGUGGAUUUAUGCAUACUUAAGAGCUUAUUACUAAUAUAAUUAAUUUUCACUUUUCAGAUGUAGCAUACACCCUGUCCUUAAUAAUAGUACAUGUAAAUGUUAAUAAUCUGAAUUUUGUUAUUCUCUGUCUCAUUUUAUUACGUUUGGACUUUGGAGUUAAGGUUAUGUCACGACGGACUCUUGGGAGACACAUAAAUGAAAUACAAAUGCAAGUAAUUUUUGAUAUCAAAAAUACGUUCAAGGAAGUAAAAUAUAUUUGCACAACAGCAGACAUAUGGUCACAACACUGGCCAAGUGUUCUACUUUAUGGAAUGCCUCAGGCCGACCAAAAUCGGCUGAAAUAAUAUUUUCUAUCCUAUGACAUAAACUUAGUUAUCCUUGUGUUACCAGAUGGAAUUCUAUGUACGAUUCUGUCUGCCAGAUUAUACAAUUUCAAGAAAAAUUUCCAGAAGUUUUUGAAUCACUAAAAUUGAAAUGCACCAUUAAAGAAACUGAGCUUGAAUAUCUAAGAUAGUAUAUAGACAUAUUUAGCCCUCUUGCUGCUGCUCUUGAAAGCCUACAGGGAGAUGGCUGCUAUUAUGACCAAUUACUACCAACACUUUUUACAUUGGUUAAAAAGUUUGAAGAACUAGAACUCCAAACUUUCAGAUUUGGUGCACCUCUUUUGCAAGCUGUGAAGACAUCAGUUUUGAAAAGAUUUGAGAAAUAUUUUGAAUUAACUUCAGAGAUAAAUGAAGCCAUUAUUGCAACAUGUGUACAUCCAUACUUCAAAUUGUGUUGGUUACCUGCAACUGCAACUAAUGAAAGCACAAGGAAACGGAUCCAAGAAGUUCUAACAGUGGCUGCAAAGGACAUAAACCCACUGAGAGAUGACAAGAAGAACAGUUACACACCAGCAGAAGAUGAUUGGUUUGUAUUCGAUGUCAAUACAAAUAAUGAAUCUAGUGUUGCACAAACAAACAAAAUUGAACUUGAGUUAUUACAAUACUUACAAGAUAAGGAUACCCACACGAGUAUGCUAAAUGAUUAUCCAGUGAUGCGAAAGCUUUUCUUACGAUAUAAUACAAGUUUAACCUCUAGUGGUCCUGUUGAAAGGUUGUUUUCAUUUGCAGGUAUAAUACACAACCAUAAACACCACAGCUUGAGUGACACAAUGUUUGAGAGACUGGUUUGUCUUAAAGGGAAUUCGUCCUUCGUUGCUCACAAAAAUGUUGAAUAUAUUUUGUAAUUUCAUCUGUAUUUUAAAAUACUAUUUUGUAUUUUGUAUCUGAAAUACAUUUUAUUUUAAAUAUUUUGUAACUGUAUUUUUAAUAAAUGUACACAGGUAUUUUG